ensembl:processed_transcript
AGCCGCCUCGACACGACUGAUUAUUCAUGUUUUAAGACCGUUAAAGUACAGUUACUGCAGAUGACAGCUUAUUUACAGACUCAUUCAACAGCAUGUAUGUCAGCCAUAACGUUAAUAACAAACUACACGCUGUGUUGUCAAGCGUCCAGGAUGUCACUCUGAUCACCUAUGCACAAAUCCUCCACAAGUGGGCACAACAUUGACACAUUGAUCAGGCUUUCUUCAUUAAAUCUUUAUUAAAUGUGAUGUUUGUCUGUAGAUUGAUGUGUUGAUAUGAUGACCAGUCCUGAGCUUCACAUCCUCCUCAUCAGAGACACAGAGAAAGAUUCAGUCAAACCUGCUACUGGAAGAGAAAAAUCAGUCAAACA